CGACGUUAAGAAGAAGUAAGGAUGAUACAUAGCAUAGCAUGGGGGUGAAUCCUACACUCCUCAGCCCAAAAGUUCGAGACAGGAGGUAGGAGUGGCACUGUCGUCACAGUCACAGCGACGGAAACAUGUGGGGAUGUACAGUGGCGGAGACAGAGAUGGUAAUGUUGUAUGGCACUGCCAAAAGCCGGCAGCUGUCGUCGCCAUCUUAGUAGUAGAGCCAUUAAUGGGAGGAACGUGGCCAACCUCAAGUGCUACGCCCACUACACACUCAGCUGCCUCCUCCAUCGGCCGUUCUCAACGUCAUCGGAGAUGUCAAGCCUGGGCGGGUCUCAGCUCGUACGACAUCGAAGAUGUGCUGCACAUCGAGUGUUUGUUAAAAAUCCUCAAACAAGCGCAGGAGCAAACAUGAAGCGAUCCCGACAAGUGCAAUAAGAUGACCAUACAAAAGACUCUGCACUGAUAACACAGCAUUCACCAAAGAGAGCUCACUUGGCUCCACUGAUUUCCCUGGAAAUCACAAGUACUUGGGAGCCACAUGAAUCUUCCAAGCGGACAUGGCCAUGUGACGUGUUGAGAGCAAAGUAGCCUGCAACAUUCCAGAGGCCAGAUUCAGAGAGAGAGAGAGACGGGAGGGGAGGGGCCUCCACCAGCCCACGCCAAUCCGAUGUCACCCUGCACCUCCCUCUCCCGACUCCUCAGAGCUCUGCAGCCACGGAUGUGGGGGAGAGGCGUGGGCUAAAGAAUGUGAACCACUCCACCUUCUCAUCUCAUCGGCAGACAACGCAGCAUGGACCUGCACAACAGUGGGAAUUGUCGAGCCCUGCUUAAUGGGCUCGUCGUGAUCACGCCAUCCUGUGCAGGCUGUGGACCAUCUCCCUGCCUUUGCUUCCAUCCUCACGCCAUUCAUUGCAUACUGCUUGCCGUGACUUUUAUUUCG
rnacentral:lncRNA from 1 species